GAUAAACGCUGGCGGCGCACAUAAGACAUGCAAGUUGAACGGACUUAAUCGAAAUAUUUCUAUUUUGAAGCGGUUAGUGGCGGACUGGUGAGUAACGCGUAAGGAACCUGCCUAUUAGAGGGGAAUAACAGUGAGAAAUCAUUGCUAAUACCGCAUAUGCCAUAGAUAUCACAUGAUAACAGUGGGAAAGGAGCAAUCCGCUAAUAGAUGGCCUUGCGUCUGAUUAGAUAGUUGGUGGGGUAACGGCCUACCAAGUCGACGAUCAGUAGCCGGACUGAGAGGUUGAACGGCCACAUUGGGACGGAGAUACGGCCCAGACUCCUACGGGAGGCAGCAGUCGGGAAUAUUGCGCAAUGGAGGAAACUCUGACGCAGUGACGCCGCGUAUAGGAAGAAGGUUUUCGGAUUGUAAACUAUUGUCGUUAGGGAAGAGAAAGGACAGUACCUAAGGAGGAAGCUCCGGCUAACUACGUG
rnacentral:rRNA from 1 species